rnacentral:rRNA from 1 species
UACGAAGGGGGCUAGCGUUGCUCGGAAUUAUUGGGCGUAAAGCGCACGUAGGCGGCUUAGCAAGUCGGAUGUGAAAUCCCUCGGCUUAACCAAGGAAGUGCAUCCGAAACUGCUGAGCUUGAGUACGAAAGAGGAUCGCGGAAUUCCCGGUGUAGAGGUGAAAUUCGUAGAUAUCUGGAGGAACACCGGUGGCGAAGGCGGCAUCCUGGACCAAUUCUGACGCUGAGUGAGCGAAAGCCAGGGGAGCAAACGGG